UAAACGAUUUUAGGAGCAUCAAAGUUUGUCCUACAAUAUCUCUAUGUGGUAUCCAGCUUAGCAAUUUUUCAUAUUUUAGAUAAAAUGGAAUUGACCUUCGGUUAAUGCUUAGAGAAUUCACCAAAAGUAGUGAUAGGAUUUAUAAUCGACUUAAAUGAGAUUUCCGUUUUACGCUCUUCAAUUCAUAUUUCAUAUAUAUGGAGCCGCUCGCCACUGGAGCCGCGGGUCGCCGCUGGAGCCGGAGCCGCCCGCCCCGCAACGCCGCCACGGGGUUGGAUCGUAUGGUGCUGUACUGGUGGCCCUGGAGACAUACAAGAUCGAUGAGGUAACAUGUCGUUCAAGUUUCAGUACGACAAUUUGAUUGAUCUAGGCUAUGACUGUUCAAAGGUCAUGAAUCUGGUAAUGUCAUAUGCAUGCAUGUGUAUUAACUGUUUGUGUUGGGUAUCUUCAGAGAUGCUCAGAACAUCCAUAUAUACAUGUGUACGAUGACUAUGCCGCAGAGGACGAUGAGCAUGAGGAGAAGCUGAAGAAGGAAACGUUUAUGUUGUUCUUCUUAGCUACAUGCAUGAGCUCUCGCCUUUUUGAUUCGUAGAAUGAUGAACUGACCACGAUGAGCUCACGCUGCUUUGAUUUGUAGAUUGCCGACUUCCUCACAUAUUAUGGUUCGUAGGUUGCUGAAUGACCCUUUUUGUUGCUUGCGCCUUAAUUCGGUAAUCCAUCUACUAGCCUUUUGUUGAACAACACAAGUGAAAUGUAUGCAAGUACACAAUUUAUUUUAGAUUCGAAAGGCACUUAAGAGUUAAGACACUAGCUAUAAGCCUACCAACAAGGGGAAUGUCUAUGUGUCUGUGUGUAGUGUUCUUCUAAUCGGUGGGGGUUAUAAAGUGUGGCUGCAGGCAUUUAAUUAAGCACAAUCCUGUUGUGGCAAAGGAGGAACCGGGUUUACCUCCAAUGAAGAGAAGCAUUGUUAGCUAAUUCCGCAUCUUUAUCGAGUGGGUUAUUGUAUUGGGAGCCGUCAGUGCUUAUUGUGGUGUCAUAUACCAAAAUUUGUUUUUAGUUCAUCAGUUCAGUCCAAUCUUGCAGAACAAAUACAAAUAAAGUGCAUAGAAAUAUUGCAUUUGAUAGAAUUUAUAUGAUGUUUCAAGGAACCACGUUCUGCACUCUAUGUUGUUAUGUUGAAUGGAAGCAACAACGACACCGGGGAAACAUGAGUUUAUCAUUCAAAAGAGGUCUCUGAAAUUUUAGAGGGUUGUGGUAUAUGAAUCAUUGCUGGAUAAGGAAAGGAGUGGGGGAGGAUCUGCAAGUGUGUAGUGUAGAACUUUAUUGAUGUAGGCGUUGAUUUUCAUUUGUAAGAUUCUGUAUUGUUCUUUACCCAUCUGCUCCUGGAACUGCCUACUAAUUAUGAUUUGUUGAAGUCUCAUGCAGACAUUAUACGAUGGAUUUAUAUGGCUACCUGACUAGGUAAAAGAGCUAUAUAUUUUAGUGUUUCUAAUUCAGAUAAUCUAUUUCUUAUGGACCUAUGAAACCUUAAUGUUAAUUCACAAAGCUCGGUCUUGCAAGAAAACAAAAAGCAGCAUAGCUGCGAGAAGAUAACAUAUAUCUUGUUUACUUUGUUGUAAUUUGUGUGCUAACUUGGUCAGAAUUUUCCUAUUUUGUAGUUUAUGAAAAUUCUUUAUCAUGUUGUAGCCAAGAUUUGCAAAAUGUUCAUCAAAUUUAUGGUUUGUAUUUCUGCCUAAUAUAAGAACUCUAUUUCCCUGUUCAUCCAACUCUGCCCUUUUGAUUGCAGUUCUUUCCUACACAUACAGCUGAAACUUACAAUUUGUACUCUUGGCUGAUGCAACAGAUUAAGGAUUAAACUCAUGGCAUCUAAAAAAUUAGCUUGAACUGUAAAAAGAUCUAAAAACAGACUCUGAAUGUCCAGUCAAAAGUGACUGACUUUGAUAAACAUUGAUAAUGACAUUUUGAUCUAAAAAGUGGGCAGCUGAUUUGCUAAUUAACUGACUCUGAACGUCCCAUAAAAAAUAACUCCAAACGUCUAACUUUUAUUAUGUUGGUGCUUAAUACUCCCUCCGUAAACUAAUAUAAGAGCGUUUAGAUCACUAUUUUAAUGAUCUAAACACUCUUAUAUUAGUUUACAGAGGGAGUACUAGGAUGCUGGUGUCUGCAUAUGAGCUGAUGUUCGGGAAGCCAUCCCUCCACAGACUCUUUGAGGGCUACUUCGAUCAAGCCGGGAGGGUGAACGCAAGGGGUCAUGUUGAAGAUGCUGCAAGUUCCUCAUGUUGAUUUGAUCACAACUAUAGGAGACACCCUGUGGGUGUCUUUUCUUCACACAAAAAAUAAUAAAUUUUGGGCACUGAUAACCAUGUGCUCACAUUCUUACAUAUUUAUUUAUUUUUACAGGAAAAUGCGACACCAACAACUAACGAUGAACACAUUCAUUCACUUAUUUACAUUGGCAUUUUUCGUCACUGGGACAAUUUUAUUGUCAUGCAUGAUUUUGUUUAUGAGACUGUUCAGGCAUUUUCGAGUUUCUGUAAAGAUGAGUACUGCCAACCUUUGCUUGUUCUCUCGGACUAGGCCUACCGCAAGCUUACCUCGACUGAUUUCGGUGGCCCAAAGCGGCACUAGCUCGGAGACGACAUCAACAAGCUCCUGGAGACUUGGUUGGUGGUGAGGCGCCUAGGCGAUCUUGUGGAUGGCUUUGAAAUUCGAUGGCAUAGAAAGUGCAGAGGGAGAGGCGCGAGCAGUGGCGGCACCAAGGCGAUCUUGUGGGUGGCUUUGAAAUUCAAUGGGAUAGAAAGUGCAGAGGGAUAGGCGCGAGCAGUGGCGGUGUGCCUCCAGCAUCUCUCUCACACAUGAGCAUUUGUGGCUAACAGAUGGCAUGCCAGAGGAGAAGCGGGCGUUUGUCUGUUUUGAGAAUUACAAGGUUGCACAAUGGGCGUUUGUCUGUUUUGAGAAUUACAAGGUUGCACAAUAUCGGAUAUCGUUG
rnacentral:lncRNA from 1 species